CGGCAGCAACUCCCCUUCAUAUUUCCCCUUUCAGCAGCUCGAGGAGGAGGGGUCAGGGAGGUGGCACGGGAGGGACUCUGAUUGACGCCGGAUCCCGAAACCGGACACCCUUGCCUUGACUUGAAAGGAGACUACAAAGGCCAGAGAGAUCUCGAGGGGAGGAUCCACGGUUCCCGCCCAGGGCGCCUUCCCGCCUCAGCCUCCCUCCCUCAGCUAUGGGUACCAAACAAGUCAGAUGGUCUCUAGGCUGAAGAGAAAAUGUCGGCAUCCAUUUAAAAAAAAAAAAAAAAAAGCCUCGCAGUCCUUACAACCGGAGGGAAAUGAUGGUUUAGGACACGUCAUCAGUUUAUUGCAGGCAGAAGACAUUUUGGCAUGGGCUCAGACCUGUGGGCAAGCGCGCUCCUUUGGUCCCUUCCCUGUUGUCCCCAGUCUGCUCCGCACCCCUUAAUCCCAAAAGUACCGCGGAGCCGAAUCCCACAGGUCCAUCAUAUCACCUCGGAAUGCUCGCGGUCCUGAGUUUUAUGAAACAUUCCUUAUUUUAAGGGGAUUCGCUUAGGACCUCUUCACACAUGAACUUGGAAACAUGAAUUUUUCCACAUUGAUACUCCCUGCCCCUCAGAUAACCGCAGCCAACUGGGAUUUCUCUGCAGUCUCUGUGCUUGUAUCACGCCAUCAUAUAAAGCAGCCCUUAUUCCAGUAGACAUCGAACUUAUAAGACACUGAGCAGAGUUGCCCAUUUUUCUACACUUCACAUUGGAACAUAAAGCAUGUUUUUAUUUCAUAAUCCAUCGUGUCCAUUGUUUCUGGACUGGAAGUGUGGUGAACUGGUGGCUCGCUAGCCCUGACAAAACUGCACAAACUUGAGCAUCAUCUCCCAAAAGGCUCCCAAAGGAAAUGAUUCCCCUCAUGAGGACAUUGAACUUCAUCCGUCACUAAAGCCAAACACACCAUCUUUUAUCAGCCUACUCUCAGUCCCAUGGUUAUCCACACACAGAGGUGGUUACUAGGAAGGCUUGAGAGAGGGCUAACUCAAAACUCUCUAGCAGCUCCACUGAGACAAACCCCUUAAAGUGUUGAGAGCUCGAAACAUUGAACCUUCACCUUAUAGCCCAUAAGAUUUACAGCGUGCAGGCUCAUAACUCCGUUGUGCUCAUAUGAAUGGAACACAAACGCUUAGCUCCUGGUUAACUGGACAAAGAGGCACCUUUUAAAGUGAUGGCUUUCUUAUAUUUAACAAGGGAGCAAGAUGGUCCCUGGUUACUCUGUGGUGGCAGCUGGAGGAGGCAAGGGCCACUUCAGCUGGGAGGUGGAUGGUGACAGCUCCCCAGCCUGUCUCUCUCUCUUCUCUCCUCCCCUCAGAGCAAGAUGGUCCUUGGUCGCUCUGGAGCGGCAGUUGGGGGUCAGAGAGCAACUACAUGUUUUCCUUUGAAUACCUGAAGAAAGCCCCUGUGCAUACAACUUCAUUGAAGUCUCUGUUCAAGUAGUUGGGAAGCCUGCCCUCUGUAUGUACAGAAAUGUGUUGGGCAGAAAUGCCCAAGUCUCUUCUAUUUCUGAAGCAUCACAUAUAUGAUCAAAUUUACAGCUGCAUAUUUGCUAUAACUGCUUUCAUUGCUGUUGCUACACCAAGCACCAAUUACCAGUGUAUUGUUAUUGAAAUGCACUCCCUGUGUCAUUCAACAGGUAGAUACAGGCUAAAAGUCAAAACUGACUUGAUGGCACACAAAAAAAGUGGGAGGUGCCUAUUGAAUAAUGAAUAGAAACUAAGAUGUCAAGCUUGUACUGUGUGGCCAGGUAUCGCCUUUGAUAUUAAUUAAAUAUUGUUUUAAUAGUUUCAACAUUGUUUUAAAGUAUUGUUUUUAAAUUUUUAAAUUAUUGUAAUGUUUUAACUUUUUCUGUUAUCAUUUAUUUUGUUUUAACUAAUGUUUUAAUUUUUUCUGUUGUUUGUUUUGCUUCAUUGUAAA